UUAUCCUUCCUGCAGUCCACAAAAUGAUCUUGAAGGUCCCUUCCAACCCAAACCAUUCUAUGAUUCUGUGAGAUCUCAGAAUGCUGCCUAGAACUUUCCACUAACACAUCGAUUUCCAAGUUUGUAAAUACAUCCCAAGACGACACCAGAAACUUGCAGCUGUGGCAGCCAAUCUGAAAUCAAGGGCAGUUUAAUUUUCUGAAUAAUGCUUUUUACAUCAAAUGUAGUACCCCUGUCGUGUUCUGUUGUCACAACUUUUGCUGCAUUCCACAAGUUUCUCGUGUUUAUUGCUGCAGUUCAGUAGCAAAGUGAGGUAGCAAGUUCCAAUUACUGCAAGUGCAGAUUAAGUUCAGAGUUAUUUCAGAUUUCAGUCCUUACUGUAAUUAAAAUUUAAUACUAAGCUUGACUGAGGAUGUCCAAAGCAGGGGAAAAAACCCCAAAACUUAAUUAGAUAACGUUUCUUACUUUAAUACUGAUCCAUUUGAAUAUUGCAGGUGUUUUCAGGUAAAUCUGUGCAGUCACUGUGAAAGCAACAGGAAGCGCGACUAGCAUUCAGAAGGACAAACCCAUGAAAUCAGCUUUUAAGGAUCAGUUUGAGGUUGUUGGUUGAUGCUUUUUGACCAUACCUCCAGCCUUAGUGUUUUAAUUGCUAAUGGAAAUACGCUUCCUGCAGUACGAUGCGGUGCACUGGAAGAGCUCACUGUGGCACGGUCUUAGUCAGUACUUCUGUUCAUCCAGCCGCAGCGCAGAGAUGCCCUGCUCUGAACAAAUAAGAGCUUGACAGCCUUGUGGGGAAGUUUUCUUAAAAAUUCUAAUGGAGAAAAUGCAACUCCAGAAACUCCAUUCUUGCUGUUCAUGCAUGUAUCUUAAAAAACCCCAACUUAUUCCUGACUUUUGAGAAUUUACCAAAUACCACCCUUCUCAGUUUUGUUUCCUCAAAGGUAAUAUGAAUAGAAUGAGAACACCACCCUGUGCUACCAGGUGUAGCGAGGCCCACAUGCUAACUUACUGUGCAGAACGUGAAGACAGAAGACUUGAGUUACACCAUUACUACCCUCCCUUUAGCAGUUAAAUGAGUUUCUCUCUGUAAGCCAAGUGUAGGCAGGAGAUCUCAGGCAGUGAAUUACUGGGUUCCUGCAGGACUAUUUUUGUUGUUUAUUCCAUCACACUUGUGAAACAGGAAUAGCACUUCCUUUCUGGGCAAGGAGGUGCAAGGAUAAAUCUGAUGUAAGCAGAUACAAUGAUGAGGCACAUAAAUAUAACUAUCUUGACAGUUACCUGUUAGGAAGAAUACACCUGCUUUAAAUGUUUCUGUUAAGACUUGUCUGCAUCACUUAGACUUUCCUCUUGCUAAGCCUGGUUCCUCUGUAUGCUGCCUUCUUCCUCAUACCUGCUGGGAGCCUGACCUUCUCCCAGGUGCCAUCAGCACAAGAAUCAGCAUGCCCUGUAUGGGAUGGCCACCUACUAGUAAGAAGAAAUGUAAAGCAGAAAGAGUAAAGCUGUGUGUUUCAGCAUUUUCUUUUAAUUGAGCUGCUUAAGGUGAACACCAGGCUCUCCAGCAGGUUUGCUCUGCCAAAUGAGAACUAUACCAGAAGACACAAAUGUCUCCUACUAGAUAGACAUUGUGCCGCUUCCUGUAGUGUGUUUUACCUCCUACUCUUGCCUAGUUUCGACAAACUGUCUCACGUGCCUGCAACAUAUACUUAAGAUGCUAAGGAUUAAUGCAGAUGCAAAAAGUUGUCCUAUUAUGUGACUCAACUGUAAAAAUUUAGUGUUUCUGUUUGAAUUAAUGAGACUACUUUUAAAUUAGUAUUUUUCUAUUUCUAAACAAAGAGGGAGGGGACAAAAGGACCAAAGCCUCUUUUGUUAAAUAGACUGAAACUGAAAUGCUGCAAGGAAAGAAGCUGCCAGACUGCCAUUUAAAGCACUUGAAUACACAGGGACUAGGGGAGAUGUCCUGCUGUUCAUUAACCUGAUGAAUAGCUAUUAUGCAGCAUUUGGUCAUGAAGUACGGCCUCAGAUGUCUUCUGGCGGUUUAAAAGCAGAACUGGUCAGAAAUAAGACUAAAAGGUAAGAAUCAACAGCCAGGAUGCCCUGGUGACCCUGCAGGACUGUAGAAACCUCAACAAAAAGUCUCUGCCAGCCCCCCCGAGUUGUGUUGGAAAUUCUGUGGCAGCAGCAGGUGUUAGACUUGGACAACAGCUGUGCUGGGGCUCAAAAAGCUCCUCCACCUCCAGAAUAUGAGAACCUUUGCCUGUUUCUCUUGCAGCUGGAACGCAAAAAGAACACUGAACAAGUACAGUAAUUGAACAAAUAUCCAUAUGCCUUCGACACUGCAUGUGUAGGUUACAUACAGUAACUGAACGAAUGGCAUUUCCAACUAUUAUGCGUGUUGUUUCUCUGGAAGUAAUUAACAUACUCAGUAAUUCAGCUGGCUAUAAAAUUAUUUCACAAGCUUUUUUUCAUUACUCAUGGUUUAAUUCAUUACAACUACCACUCUAAACGUAACAAUUCUUAAGGUUUACCUUGAUUCAUUUUCUCAGGAGUGACACUUGGGUUACCGAAGACUGAGCUGAGCCAAGGCCACCACUGUCAGUCUCCGUCUUUGUGCCAAGAAAACUGGGUGCAACUAUUUUAUGAACUUUUUCAUGCAACUGUGCUGCAAGAAUUAUGAAGAGAGCAGCUAGAAACUGAAAAGCUGCGCUGGAUGUUUUCAGUUGACUAAAGCAUGUGAUCUGAUGCACGGCUGGCAGAGACUGACUGCAGUUGGAGCCUGGAUGCGAUGGAGAAGCCUGGUGGGCUGCUAACACUGAUGCUGUCACUGCACUAGUCAGGACUCGGCCCGAGUGUGGUAGUAGCCGGGCAAAAGGUUCUCUGGUUCUCAGAGUCAUAGUCUCUGUGCAAGUAUUCGCUCCAGGUAGGUGAGCCUGAAAUAUGAAGAAGUCAGCAGCAGCUGUCAUCUGUGCAAGAGCCACAAAAGGAGUGCAUGACUGCAAGAGAACCGUAUCCGAGUUAAAGGCCUAGCAAAUGUCUAUGAUGAAAAAGUUGUGCUGCAGUGAAGUAUUUAUGAAGCAGGUGAGAUGGGCUUUGUGGGAUGGAUAGUGCUUGCUGAAUUAUUUCUAUGGCUUCUGUGUGAUCCAUCUGUCUCAAAGCAGUGAUCAACUCUUGAACUGUACCACCAGAAACCUAAGAGAGAAGACACCAGAAGACAUCAUACAGGCUGGCUAAAACCGAAGGGCUGUACUGUCUCACUGUGCAGGAGGACAACAUCCUCUACAUGUCUGAGUGUUCUUCGGAACUUGUUACAGCCACAUUACCUCAUAG